UCCAGACUCCUACGGGAGGCAGCAGUGGGGGAUAUUGCACAAUGGGGGGAACCCUGAUGCAGCGACGCCGCGUGGGUGAAGGAGCGUUUCGGCGCGUAAAGCCCUAUCGGCAGGGAAGAAGGAGGACGGUACCUGACUAAGAAGCCCCGGCUAACUACGUGCCAGCAGCCGCGGUAAUACGUAGGGGGCAAGCGUUAUCCGGAUUUACUGGGUGUAAAGGGAGCGUAGACGGCCAGACAAGUCUGAAGUGAAAAUCCAGCGCGUAACGCUGGAAGUGCUUUGGAAACUGCCGGGCUGGAGUGCAGGAGGGGCAGGCGGAAUUCCUAGUGUAGCGGUGAAAUGCGUAGAUAUUAGGAGGAACACCAGUGGCGAAGGCGGCUUGCUGGACGAUGACUGACGUUGAGGCUCGAAAGCGUGGGGAGCAAACAGGAUUAGAUACCCCAGUAUA
rnacentral:rRNA from 1 species